rnacentral:rRNA from 1 species
UACGUAGGGGCCUAGCGUUGUCCGGAUUUAUUGGGCGUAAAGAGCUCGUAGGCGGUUUGGUAAGUCGGGUGUGAAAUCUCCACGCUCAACGUGGAGGGGCCACCCGAUACUGCCAUGACUGGAGUCCGGUAGGGGAGUGUGGAAUUCCCGGUGUAGCGGUGAAAUGCGUAGAUAUCUGGAGGAACACCGGUGGCGAAGGCGGCAUCCUGGACCAACACUGACACUGAGGAGCGAAAGCCAGGGGAGCAAACGGG